rnacentral:rRNA from 1 species
UACGAAGGGGGCUAGCGUUGUUCGGAAUCACUGGGCGUAAAGGGCGCGUAGGCGGCCGAUCAAGUCGGGGGUGAAAGCCUGUGGCUCAACCACAGAAUUGCCUUCGAUACUGGUUGGCUUGAGACCGGAAGAGGUAAGUGGAACUGCGAGUGUAGAGGUGAAAUUCGUAGAUAUUCGCAAGAACACCAGUGGCGAAGGCGGCUCACUGGCCCGAUACUGACGCUGAGGCACGAAAGCGUGGGGAGCGAACAGG